UAACUUGUUUGAAACCCCCCAAGGAAGCCGGAACAUCAACUAUGCUAAAUCGGGAGAGAAGAUAUUGAAAACAUAAAAUACCAAGAUUGAAAGAUUCAAGAUAGCAGAGGAUGGUGAAUAUGUUAAAGACCACCAAUUACAGACUUUUGGGGGGUUAAAAGGGCGAAUUACUAAUCUAAGAUCACCAAUUGUAAAGUCUGUACCCACGUGAGUAAUGGUUCUAGAAAUGUAUGAUUGGGGUGAAUUGUGAACAGUAAAAGGGUUUCACAUUAAUUUGCCGUUCAAAAGUCCAGUUUCUUCCUGCACACAGCCCUGCAGCCCAGGCUGCAGCUUCGGGGAGAGGAAUGUCAGCAGUCACUUUCUCACCCCGUCUCUGGCGCUCCAAGGCUUGUGUGACAAGGCUGGUGCCAUAAAAUGACAACAACAACAGCAACACCUCUGCCCAGUGGCUGGGAUUUGCCAAUCCCCAGCUUUCUGCAGCUGGGCUGGGGCUGGGAAGGAGGGAAAUCUGCAAACCCUCCCGGCCCCGAGCGCAGGAUCCCCGCCGAACGUGAUCUCACCCGCCGGGAGCAUCUGAUGGACGGAGUGUUUCUUGUUGUUCCAACACCAUGGCAAUGUCUCCAGGAGGAGCACAAAUCACUUGGAGCAGGGAGGCAGAGCCAGCUGAGCAGGAUCUGCUCAGGCUGAAACCCUCAGAGUAGUCGAAAUCGGCUGCGUGCUGGACACAUUUAUUUUCCAUUAAAAAAGAGUGGAACUCGACCACGUGGAGCAGGAAAAUGAAGUUGCCACGUCUUCCAAAGCCUCGAGAGGUUUUGAUGCAUCUUCUCGCUGGACUAUGGAGUCUCUUACAACUCUGGAAAAUCUUAAAAUCAGCUUCUUACCCCUCUCUCUCACCUCAAAAAUAGGGAUAAACUCCCCCUUAUUUUCCUUGAUCGCCGUUUUUAAAAACUAUCUACACACUGUGUACAUUUGUUGGACACAUUAUAU
rnacentral:lncRNA from 12 species